rnacentral:lncRNA from 1 species
GCUUUUUAAGUCAAUGGAUGCGCUUGUGCACCCAAUUCAGGAAGGAAGUAGCAACCCCAAAACCUUAUAAUUUAUUUCCAUUCGUACAGUUUGUUUCUUCACCACACCUCAUCCAUGGCACUUGUGAGAGCAACUCAACAAACCUCCUCUUCUAAUACUCCUCGAUGUUGCCGUUAUCACGUGUUCCUCAGUUUCAGAGGUGAAGACACUCGCAAGACUUUCACUGACCACCUCUUCACAGCCUUGGUCAAUGCCGGAUUUCGCACUUGCCGAGACAAUGAUGAGCUGGAGAGAGGAGAAGAUCUUAAGCCCGAACUCCAGAAAGCAAUCAAACACUCAAGAACUUCUGUUAUUGUGUUUUCGAAAGACUACGCAUUGUCCAGAUGGUGCCUUGACGAGCUUAUGAAGAUCCUUGAACGCAAGAGGACCUCACCUGACUAUGUGGUUUUACCACAAAAAUCAUUAUAAAAAAAAACAUAAUAACCAAAGCAUCACAAAACAACCAAAAAACUAAAACUGAGCAGAUGCAAAAAAUGCAUCAUCCAGAAGCAAUAACCAAAUCCGAAAAUAUAAACACUUCAACUGAUAGUUAAACCAAAUUAAUCAUCAGCUAGCUCAAGACUAAAAAUCCUCACCUUGUUUCAAAUGCUUAGUCCAAAUAGAUAUGAAAAAAAUGAAAAAUCUAAAUAAAUAAAAAAAUCAUAGCCCUCGAUUGAAACCUAAACAUCACAAUUUGACGUAAAAAAUCAAACCCUAAAUGGUAAAACUACCUCUGACGGAGGGCUGGCGGGAUCCCCAUAUCUUCUUGUCCACCAUUGUCUAAGGAGAGGUGAUGGUUGCUUGGUGGCGAUAGAUCUAGUGGUAAAACCUAUAAAAAGUUAAAGAUAAACUACUAAUUACAUAAAAAACUGAACUUAAAAAAAAAAUUAAAAAUUAAAACCUUAUUUACCAAUCCAAUGAUACCUUUUACACUAUGAAAGACAAAAAAUCGUUCGUGAGGUAAAAUAACCCUGUUCUUCGGAAAAUGAAAGGACCCGCUCUGAAUUUUUCAAAACCCGAGGCGAACCUUUUGGAAUUCCCGACAUCAUCCCGAUGCCAGUCCCACUUACUAAAGACCGAGACUUCCUGCCGAAAUUUCGGCAGAGUCUCCUCUAUAAAUUGGACAUUUCCCAAAAUUUCAACCUGCAUAAAAACGCAUUUAAUAUCCACAACUGGCAGUAUGCACAAUAUAAUUUCAUGCAAUUCACACAAACGGCCUUCGGCCUUCCAAUAAUUCUCAUCUAACUACCAAACACGCUAACAAAACAAUUCAUGUCUUAAACAAGGCAACAAUUCAAAUAUAAAUUAUGACUAACAUUUAGUCUGCGGCUGCACCUAAUAACCUUAGGCUGCCUACGUACCCUCCUUGAGGGAUCAAGCCACACGUAGUUCUUCCAUAAAAUCCAAUUCCACACUUAGGCAAUACCUUAUUUCAUUUCUCUGUAUUUCACAUAAUCUCUCCAUACGCCGGUACAACCAACGCCACGUAUGGGGCCUGUCAACACGCCGGAUAACCUACGCCACGUGCGACCAUGCCAUACUAUCAUAAUAUCUCCCCAUACGCCGGUACAACCAACGCCACGUAUGGGGUCUGUCUCAACGCCAGAUAACCUACGCCACGCGAGACCUGCACAUCAUAUCACAUAUCUCCCCAUACGCCGGUACAACCAACGCCACGUAUGGGGUCUGUCGACACGCCGGAUAACCUAAGCCACGUGCUACCUCAACACAAUAUCACAUAAUCUCCCCAUACGCCGGUACAACCAACGCCACGUAUGGGGCCUGUCUCAACGCCGGAUAACCUACGCUACGUGAGACCUGA